rnacentral:rRNA from 1 species
CCUACGGGUGGCAGCAGUGGGGAAUAUUGGUCAAUGGACGCAAGUCUGACGCAGCAACGCCGCGUGAAGGAAGAAGGCUUUCGGGUUGUAAACUUCUUUUAAGAGGGAAGAGCAGAAGACGGUACCCCUUGAAUAAGCCACGGCUAACUACGUGCCAGCAGCCGCGGUAAUACGUAGGUGGCAAGCGUUUUCCGGAUUUACUGGGUGUAAAGCGCGUGCAGCCGGAGAGACAAGUCAGAUGUGAAAUCAACGGGCUCAACCAGUGAACUGCAUUUGAAACUGUUUCCCUUGAGUGUCGGAGAGGUAAUCGGAAUUCUUGGUGUAGCGGUAAAAUGCGUAGAUAUUAGGAAGAACACUAGUGGCGAAGGCGGAUUACUGGACGAUAACUGACGGUGAGGCGCGAAAGCGUGGGGAGCAAACAGGAUUAGAUACCCUAGUAGUC